rnacentral:rRNA from 1 species
AACGUAGGUUCCGAGCGUUAUCCGGAUUUACUGGGCGUAAAGCGCGUUCAGGCGGUUUGGCAAGUCGGGCAUGAAAUCUCUCGGCUCAACCGGGAGAGGUUGUCCGAUACUGCUGGACUUGAGGGCAGUAGAGGGUGGUGGAAUUCCGGGUGUAGUGGUGAAAUGCGUAGAUAUCCGGAGGAACACCAGUGGCGAAAGCGGCCACCUGGACUGCACCUGACGACUGGACACGGCGAAAGCUAGGGGGAGCGAACGGG